AUUGAACGCUGGCGGCAUGCCUUACACAUGCAAGUCGAACGGUAACAGAUCUUCGGAUGCUGACGAGUGGCGAACGGGUGAGUAAUACAUCGGAACGUGCCCGAUCGUGGGGGAUAACGAAGCGAAAGCUUUGCUAAUACCGCAUACGAUCUACGGAUGAAAGCAGGGGACCGCAAGGCCUUGCGCGAACGGAGCGGCCGAUGGCAGAUUAGGUAGUUGGUGGGAUAAAAGCUUACCAAGCCGACGAUCUGUAGCUGGUCUGAGAGGACGACCAGCCACACUGGGACUGAGACACGGCCCAGACUCCCACGGGAGGCAGCAGUGGGGAAUUUUGGACAAUGGGCGGAAGCCUGAUCCAGCCAUGCCGCGUGCAGGAUGAAGGCCUUCGGGUUGUAAACUGCUUUUGUACGGAACGAAAAGACUCUGGUUAAUACCUGGGGUCCAUGACGGUACCGUAAGAAUAAGCACCGGCUAACUACGUGCCAGCCGCCGCAGUAA
rnacentral:rRNA from 1 species